rnacentral:rRNA from 1 species
UACAGCCUUGCUGAAUUAUUCACCCUUGUCUUUUGCGUACUUCUUGUUUCCUUGGUGGGUUCGCCCACCACUAGGACAAACAUAAACCUUUUGUAAUUGCAAUCAGCGUCAGUAACAAAUUAAUAAUUACAACUUUCAACAACGGAUCUCUUGGUUCUGGCAUCGAUGAAGAACGCAGCGAAAUGCGAUAAGUAGUGUGAAUUGCAGAAUUCAGUGAAUCAUCGAAUCUUUGAACGCACAUUGCGCCCUUUGGUAUUCCAAAGGGCAUGCCUGUUCGAGCGUCAUUUGUACCCUCAAGCUUUGCUUGGUGUUGGGCGUCUUGUCUCUAGCUUUGCUGGAGACUCGCCUUAAAGUAAUUGGCAGCCGGCCUACUGGUUUCGGAGCGCAGCACAAGUCGCACUCUCUAUCAGCAAAGGUCUAGCAUCCAUUAAGCCUUUUUUUCAACUUUUGACCUCGGAUCAGGUAGGGAUACCCGCUGAACUUAAGCAUAUCAAUA